rnacentral:rRNA from 1 species
GCGCCUGAAGUCAGUAGGAUUACCCGCUGAAC